rnacentral:rRNA from 1 species
GAUGAACGCUAGCGGGAGGCCUAAUACAUGCAAGUCGAGCGGUAGAAUGACUUCGGUUGCUUGAGAGCGGCGAACGGGUGAGUAACGCGUACACAAUCUACCUUUAAGAGGGGAAUAGCCCUGGGAAACUGGGAUUAAUGCCCCAUGGCAUCACGAGACGGCAUCGUUUUGUGAUUAAAGCUGAGGUGCUUAGAGAUGAGUGUGCGUCUGAUUAGCUAGUUGGUGCGGUAACGGCGCACCAAGGCGACGAUCAGUAGGGGGCGUGAGAGCGUGGACCCCCACACGGGUACUGAGACACGGACCCGACUCCUACGGGAGGCAGCAGUAAGGAAUAUUGGUCAAUGGAGGAAACUCUGAACCAGCCAUCCCGCGUGCAGGAAGAAUGCCCUAUGGGUUGUAAACUGCUUUUAUCUGGGAAGAAAAGUCGGGAUUUAUCCUGAUCUGACGGUACCAGAGGAAUAAGCACCGGCUAACUCCGUGCCAGCAGCCGCGGUAA